rnacentral:rRNA from 1 species
UGAACGCUGGCGGCGUGCCUAAUACAUGCAAGUCGAGCGAAUAGAUUAAGAGCUUGCUCUUAUGAAGUUAGCGGCGGACGGGUGAGUAACACGUGGGUAACCUGCCCAUAAGACUGGGAUAACUCCGGGAAACCGGGGCUAAUACCGGAUAACAUUUUGAACUGCAUGGUUCGAAAUUGAAAGGCGGCUUCGGCUGUCACUUAUGGAUGGACCCGCGUCGCAUUAGCUAGUUGGUGAGGUAACGGCUCACCAAGGCAACGAUGCGUAGCCGACCUGAGAGGGUGAUCGGCCACACUGGGACUGAGACACGGCCCAGACUCCUACGGGAGGCAGCAGUAGGGAAUCUUCCGCAAUGGACGAAAGUCUGACGGAGCAACGCCGCGUGAGUGAUGAAGGCUUUCGGGUCGUAAAACUCUGUUGUUAGGGAAGAACAAGUGCUAGUUGAAUAAGCUGGCACCUUGACGGUACCUAACCAGAAAGCCACGGCUAACUACGUGCCAGCAGCCGCGGUAAUACGUAGGUGGCAAGCGUUAUCCGGAAUUAUUGGGCGUAAAGCGCGCGCAGGUGGUUUCUUAAGUCUGAUGUGAAAGCCCACGGCUCAACCGUGGGAGGGUCAUUGGAAACUGGGAGACUUGAGUGCAGAAAGAGGAAAGUGGAAUUCCAUGUGUAGCGGUGAAAUGCGUAGAGAUAUGGAGGAACACCAGUGGCGAAGGCGACUUUCUGGUCUGUAACUGACACUGAGGCGCGAAAGCGUGGGGAGCAAACAGGAUUAGAUACCCCGGUAGUCCACGCCGUAAACGAUGAGUGCUAAGUGUUAGAGGGUUUCCGCCCUUUAGUGCUGAAGUAAAGCAUUAAGCACUCCGCCGGGGGAGUACGGC